CUCCUCCUUCUCCUCCUUCAGCCUCCCCCCCUCUCUCCUCUCCCCUCCCAACAGUUGGACUACCUGUGGGUUCUCUGGUUCUUCUGGUUCUUCUGGUUCUGGUCCUGGUCUGAGUUCUGUUGCUUCACAGGAAUCAAACAGGUCUGGCUGCAGCAUGAAGUGUCUCAGUAGAGUCAGGCCACCACGAGCAUCCAGUACAGCUUCAAGACUUCAAGUCUGUGGAACUCUGUUGGAUUAUUCCUUCUUAUAUAUACACCACCUUUAUUUGAUAAGUUUGUCUCCCUGAGGUCCAGAGAGAGCUCAGUACAGCAGAUAGAGAGAAACAGAACAAAAGGACAUAGAGCAUAAGAGACGUCACAGACAUCACUACCAAGAUCUGAAGAUGAGAGUUUCUAUCAUCUGCAUCUGAUGUUCCUCCUCUCUUUGAUUCAGCUUCUUCCUUUCAUUUGUUUGUUUUUAAGCUUUGCUAAAUAAAACCAGGUAGAUCAUUUUGAUCUGUUGAAAGGUU